rnacentral:rRNA from 1 species
AUGUAUGCUGAGGCAAAUCUUCACAUGCAGCUCAGACACCCAACGCCGCUGCUUAGAAACUCAGUUCCAAAGCAAUCUCAGGCAUCCCAGCAAGUUGGAGGUGAUUAUGAACUUGAUAGCAAUGUGCUUACAUCGUUAAAGGCGAAAGUUGAAGGUGAAAAGCAUAUUAAAAAUGACUUAGACCUACCCAUGGAUAGUAUGAAGUGCACAGACGGAACCCGGCCUUGUUGUCACAAGAUAUUUAUGUACAUUUCACUAAAAGAAAGAUAUUUAUGUGCGUUUGGGAGCAUACAUAUAUGA